GCGCACCAGGCGAGAAACCUCCGCAAUACACGAAAGUGUGACGGGCCAUCCCGAGUGCCGUCCGCUGAGGACGGCUUUCCCCAGUGUACAUAGCUGGGGGAAUAAGGAGAGGGCAAGCCUGGUGCCAGCCGCCGCGGUAAUACCAGCUCUCCGAGUGGUGGGGACGCUUAUUGGGCCUAAAGCAUCCGUAGCCGGCUGGGCAAGUCCUCCGUUAAAUCCAACGAUUCAAUCGUUGGGCUGCGGGGGAUACUGUCCAGCUUGGGGGCGGGAGAGGCCGACGGUAUUCCCGGGGUAGGGGUGAAAUCCUAUAAUCCCGGGAGGACCACCAGUGGCGAAGGCUGUCGGCUAGAACGCGCCCGACGGUGAGGGAUGAAAGCUGGGGGAGCGAACCGGAUUAGAUACCCGUGUAGU
rnacentral:rRNA from 1 species